rnacentral:rRNA from 1 species
GACGAACCGAGCGAACGUUGUUCGGAAUCACUGGGCUUAAAGGGCGCGUAGGCGGCUCACCAAGUCGGGGGUGAAAUACUUCAGCUUAACUGGAGAAGUGCCUUCGAUACUGGUGGGCUUGAGGGAGGUAGGGGUCUGUGGAACUUCUGGUGGAGCGGUGAAAUGCGUUGAUAUCAGAAGGAACGCCGGUGGCGAAAGCGACGGACUGGACCUCUUCUGACGCUGAGGCGCGAAAGCUAGGGGAGCAAACGGG